CACGAGAUCAUAGUUGAGGGUUUCCACAAUACAAGGAUCAAGAUGAAAUACUACAAAAAUACGAACAUGUAUCAAAGCACUAUCUCCAAGCUAAACUGCCAUACAUCAUGUACUACAUCAAAUAAACACAAUCCUCAAAACAAAAGUACAAGAAAUAGGCCCUAGCCCUCGCCAGUACAAGGUGUAGUACAUAGUGGCCUUCUAAUUGGUGAUCCUCAAAUGUAUAGGCCUGCUGGUGGGACAUGCUAUCUAUUGAGCGAUUCUCCUCACCUCGAACAGCCGUCAGCAUGUGAAGCUCUGAAAAGUAAACAACAAAAGGGUAUGAGAACUACUGAACAGUAGUUCCUAGUGGGUAUGGUCGACGAUAACCACGACCUUUCUACUAGGUCUAUUGGAUGCCAGAUUAGUGAAAGAACAGUAACAUAUGCGAUAAAGAGUAGCUGAAUGUAACUGACUAUCAUGUAUAUAGGUAAAUGAGUGACUGUAAGUAACAGUAAAGAUAACUGGCUCUAAUCUGAACAAAUAAAUGUAAAGCCUAGUAAAAGACUAACUAGCUAUGACAGGUAUGGAGAAACAUAAAGUAACAGUAAAGGGAUAACUGCAUGUAAUAUAAACAGAUCUCUAUACCUAUUGUACUAUCAUGUUCUUGUACAUGUAGUUAGAGGAAAGGAAAGAAACUAAAUAGUGUAUGCAUCAAUAUAACUACUACUAAACAAAUGCCAUAAUAGUACCCAAUCACAACGACCGACUCAUACGUCGGUCAAGCCUGCGCCCGCCUAGCUAGUGCCGGAAUCACACUCCCGCAGGUGUACCGUCGACACCUAGGCUUUGCCCCAAGCCCGAACACCACUUCCGCAGGUGAGUCGUCUUUCCAAGGGCAUACAUAUCUCUGCUAUAACUGGUUAGCGUCCGGAGCGGCACUCGAAGGAGAGCAACCCCUACCGAGUCUAAUAGCAAAUAUUUCUGUCAAACUCACUGUGGCUCUACAGACAAUGAUCUAUAGCAUGGCUAACAAUAUCACGAUACCUAAUACACUGUCCUUAGCGUGUUCAUGGAGUACACAGGAAGUUGAGUGUCACAAGAGAAUUUGAACAAUGGAGUCAACUACUCUCUCUUUAUGUCCAAAUAUUUGCACACUACCGCCGCGCUACUCGCGGCCUCAAACACAAAGUUCAUGGCAUGUACAAGAAAAAAAGAUAAGAGAUGACUCACUUAGAUAGCUCACAUAGACAACUCACAUAAAUGUCUCACAUAACUUAUGAUUUGUACAAUAUAUAGGAACCAUAGACGACUCAUCAAUAAACACAAGAAGUCAACUGGCCUCCCACGACCUAAGUUAAUUAGGAUGUCUAAUAUGAGAUAUGGUUAACAAUAUGUCAUUAUGUCACGUCUAUUAGACAAUGGGGUGGUCAAGAAUCACAAGAAAUGACCCAAUAGUCUCAACUCAAUCAUAAAUAUCCAAAAAUAUAUCCACACAUCUGACGAAUCCUCAGCCACAAAGUAUCCAAAGAGCGGUCGUCAAAGGUCUCAUGAAGCCUAGACCUCUAUCAUGUAACUCAUGGCAUGCUCAAUAUAAGGAAAAAAAGGAAAUAACUUAUGUUCAUGCUUCAAGUACGAUAUACAUUGUCAAAAUGAACAUACUCAUACUUCAUGUUCAAAUUCAUGCCUUCUAUUCAAACUCAUGUUCAUAUUUGAGUAUUAUGUCUCAUCUUCAUGCAUAGAAUGUCUAGAUAUGAUGAUCAAUACUGUAGAAUUUAUGUACGGAUGCUCAAAUACUAUAUACGAUACCAAUAGAUAUAGAAGAAAAUUUGCCGUUUUCGGCGACUCGGAACCCACCUCAAUGUGCUAUGUCAGCUACAGUAAGAAAUCCGCCACUCACGUGCUUUUCCCCAGCUCACGAUCACACGAAAACACUACAUAAGGCAAAACUUUUGGAAUUACGACGUAUAUCGAAUUUUCUAACUGCACCUAAAUCGCCUCAAUUGAACACCAAUUACCUUAAAAUUCGAGUAGCUGGACGCGCGCCGCAAACUCUUUUACACCUCUCUACACCCUGCGACGAUCAAUUGCGAAGUUAGAGGUGCGAAUUGGGCCAAUUCACACUUUGUUUCAUCCUUUCUUUUUCUUCCCCCAUUCUUUCUUUCUCUUUCUUUCUCUCUCUUUCUUGCUUUAAUUCUUUCCUUCUCUUUCCUUUUC
rnacentral:lncRNA from 1 species